AGUGGGGAAUAUUGGACAAUGGGGGCAACCCUGAUCCAGCCAUGCCGCGUGAGUGAUGAAGGCCCUAGGGUUGUAAAGCUCUUUCAGCGAGGAGGAUAAUGACGUUACUCGCAGAAGAAGCCCCGGCUAACUUCGUGCCAGCAGCCGCGGUAAUACGAAGGGGGCUAGCGUUGUUCGGAAUCACUGGGCGUAAAGCGCACGUAGGCGGACUUUUAAGUCAGGGGUGAAAUCCCAGAGCUCAACUCUGGAACUGCCUUUGAUACUGGAAGUCUUGAGUCCGAGAGAGGUGAGUGGAACUCCGAGUGUAGAGGUGAAAUUCGUAGAUAUUCGGAAGAACACCAGUGGCGAAGGCGGCUCACUGGCUCGGUACUGACGCUGAGGUGCGAAAGCGUGGGGAGCAAA
rnacentral:rRNA from 1 species